rnacentral:lncRNA from 1 species
ACAAAGUGAAAUAAAACAAAGUCAUUUGACUUGGAGGGAAACCCACAGAAACACAAUACACCCAUUUCCUCCCUCUUCCAAAACAGGACUUUCCCCCAAAUAAUACGAAUUAAACUGCCGCAGCAUGAUUCCAGCUCCGGCAAAAAGGUUAUAAACUCCGGCAACGACAUUCCCGAACGUUUGGUGAAUUCCGGCGACCGUACGAGACCUAGCCUUCUCCAAUAAUAGUGAAGAGCUCAGAUUUUGGCCCAUUGCAAAAGCUCACAGAAACUAGAGUUUGUUUGGUUGAGGUUCAGAAUCCCAGUACAUAUAAAAGGUAUGAAAACUAUAAUUAGAUUUUUGAGGGUUCAAUGUCUAAUUUUUGUGUGCAUUAGUGCAACUGGAAGACACCAUUUCUCCUGCAACUUAGGCUUUACUGUAUCUAGAAGACGCCAUUGAUAAUUAUACUAGUUCCUGUUUCCUUUUGAAUAUUUAGUAGUAAUUCCUCUCUUUCUUACCCAAUAUUCCUUUUCAAUAUGUAGUAAUAAUUCCUCUUCUUUUCCCCAAUGUAGGCAUGUAUCUUGAUGGCAGUAAGAAGAUACCAGUGAUUAUUAUUUCCCAUUUCCUUUUGGAUAUGUAGUAGUAAUCCCUCUCUUUUUUCCCCAAUAUUCCUUU